AUUCCAGCUCCAAUAGCGUAUAUUUAAGUUGUUGCAGUUAAAAAGCUCGUAGUUGGAUUUCGGGUGGGCGAGGCCGGUCCGCCGUCUCGGUGUGCACUGGCUGCGCCCAUCUUCUUGCUGGGGACGCGCUCCUGGCCUUUGUUGGCUGGGACGUGGAGUCAGCGAUGUUACUUUGAAAAAAUUAGAGUGUUCAAAGCAGGCCUUGGCUCUGAAUACAUUAGCAUGGAAUAACACGAUAGGACUCUGGUCCUAUUUUGUUGGUCUUCGGGACCGGAGUAAUGAUUAAUAGGGACAGUCGGGGGCAUUUGUAUUCAAACGACAGAGGUGAAAUUCUUGGACCGUUUGAAGACAAACUACUGCGAAAGCAUUUGCCAAGAAUGUUUUCAUUA
rnacentral:rRNA from 1 species